AAGGAAGAUUAAUACCCCAUAAUAUUUAGAAUGGCAUCAUUUUAAAUUGAAAACUCCGGUGGAUAGAGAUGGGCACGCGCAAGAUUAGAUAGUUGGUGAGGUAACGGCUCACCAAGUCUGCGAUCUUUAGGGGGCCUGAGAGGGUGAUCCCCCACACUGGUACUGAGACACGGACCAGACUCCUACGGGAGGCAGCAGUGAGGAAUAUUGGACAAUGGGUUAGCGCCUGAUCCAGCCAUCCCGCGUGAAGGACGACGGCCCUAUGGGUUGUAAACUUCUUUUGUAUAGGGAUAAACCUACCCUCGUGAGGGUAGCUGAAGGUACUAUACGAAUAAGCACCGGCUAACUCCGUGCCAGCAGCCGCGGUAAUACGGAGGGUGCAAGCGUUAUCCGGAUUUAUUGGGUUUAAAGGGUCCGUAGGCGGAUCUGUAAGUCAGUGGUGAAAUCUCACAGCUUAACUGUGAAACUGCCAUUGAUACUGCAGGUCUUGAGUGUUGUUGAAGUAGCUGGAAUAAGUAGUGUAGCGGUGAAAUGCAUAGAUAUUACUUAGAACACCAAUUGCGAAGGCAGGUUACUAAGCAACAACUGACGCUGAUGGACGAAAGCGUGGGGAGCGAACAGGAUUAGAUACCCUGGUAGUCCACGCCGUAAACGAUGCUAACUCGUUUUUGGGUUUUCGGAUUCAGAGACUAAGCGAAAGUGAUAAGUUAGCCACCUGGGGAGUACGAACGCAAGUUUGAAACUCAAAGGAAUUGACGGGGGCCCGCACAAGCGGUGGAUUAUGUGGUUUAAUUCGAUGAUACGCGAGGAACCUUACCAAGGCUUAAAUGGGAAAUGACAGGUUUAGAAAUAGACUUUUCUUCGGACAUUUUUCAAGGUGCUGCAUGGUUGUCGUCAGCUCGUGCCGUGAGGUGUUAGGUUAAGUCCUGCAACGAGCGCAACCCCUGUCACUAGUUGCCAUCAUUAAGUUGGGGACUCUAGUGAGACUGCCUACGCAAGUAGAGAGGAAGGUGGGGAUGACGUCAAAUCAUCACGGCCCUUACGCCUUGGGCCACACACGUAAUACAAUGGCCGGUACAGAGGGCAGCUACACAGUGAUGUGAUGCGAAUCUCGAAAGCCGGUCUCAGUUCGGAUUGGAGUCUGCAACUCGACUCUAUGAAGCUGGAAUCGCUAGUAAUCGCGCAUCAGCCAUGGCGCGGUGAAUACGUUCCCGGGCCUUGU
rnacentral:rRNA from 1 species